AACUUUCGGCAAUGGAUCUCUUGGCUCUUGCAUCGAUGAAGAACGCAGCGAAAUGCGAUAAGUAAUGUGAAUUGCAGAAUUCAGUGAAUCAUCGAAUCUUUGAACGCAUCUUGCGCUCCUUGGUAUUCCGAGGAGCAUGCCUGUUUGAGUGUCAUUUAACUUCUCAACCACACAUCUCAUGAUGGCUCGUGGCGUGGAUGUGGGGGUUGUUUGCAGGCCUUCUGUGAAUGAAGGUCGGCUCCCCUGAAAUGUAUUAGUGGUAUCCUAGGCUACUACUAUAGGUGUGAUAAUUAUCUAUGCCUUUGGUAUGCCGCAUGAACAGAUUACAAUGCUUCUAACAAAGACAAACUUGAUAAAUUUGACCUCAAAUCAGGUAGGACUACCCGCUGAACUUAAGGAUAUCAAUAAGCGGAGGCU
rnacentral:misc_RNA from 1 species